AGGCGGAGGUUCCCCAAGCCUUGGAUGGUUCACCCCCUAAUAGGAAACGUGAACUGGGUUUUGCCCGUCGUGAGCCAGGCUAGUUUUGCCCUACUGAGAGAGCGUGGUUGCCCCAGUAAUCCUGCUCAGUACGAGAGGAACCGCAGAUUCAGACAUUUGGUUCAUGUGCUUGGCUGAUAAGCCAAUGGUGCGAAGCUACCAUCUGAGGGAUUAUGACUGAGCGCCUCUAAGUCAGAAUCCCGCCUGGAAAGCGACGAUGCAUUCGUGCCUCGGCCUCGAGAGGCGUAGCUAGACGGCCGCGUGGCCGUGGAAAGAGCCCGAUUCCGACCCGAGAGGCCGCGGCAAGAGGCGGCCUCGAAGUCGGUGGAUCCUCCUGCUCGAAAGGCGGGGUGCUAAACCAUUCGCAGACGACCUAGUUGAAGAUCGGGGUGUCGUGAUCACUAGAGCAGUACAUCUCACUGCGAUUUGUUGAGAGUAAGCCUCAAGAUCUGUCGGUUUGU
rnacentral:ncRNA from 1 species